rnacentral:rRNA from 1 species
AACGAACGCUGGCGGCGUGCCUAACACAUGCAAGUCGAACGCGAAAGCCCUUUCGGGGGUGAGUAAAGUGGCGCACGGGUGAGUAACACGUGGAUAAUCUGCCUGAUAAUCUGGGAUAACAUCUCGAAAGAGAUGCUAAUACCGGAUAAGCCCACAGUCUCCUCGGAGACAGCGGGAAAAGAUGGCCUCUUCAUGAAAGCUAUUGUUAUCAGAUGAGUCCGCGGUCCAUUAGCUAGUUGGUAGGGUAAAAGCCUACCAAGGCGACGAUGGAUAGCUGGUUUGAGAGAAUGAUCAGCCACACUGGAACUGAGACACGGUCCAGACUCCUACGGGAGGCAGCAGUGGGGAAUUUUGUCGCAAUGGGCGAAAGCCUGACGCAGCAACGCCGCGUGAGUGAUGAAGGUUUUCGGAUCGUAAAGCUCUGUCAAGAGGGAAGAAACCUCCAACGGCCAAUACCUGUUGGAAUUGACGGUACCUCUAGAGGAAGCACCGG